rnacentral:rRNA from 1 species
UGGGGAAUAUUGCGCAAUGGGCGGAAGCCUGACGCAGCGACGCCGCGUGGGGGAUGACGGCCUUCGGGUUGUAAACCUCUUUCAGUAGGGACGAAGCGCAAGUGACGGUACCUACAGAAGAAGCACCGGCCAACUACGUGCCAGCAGCCGCGGUAAUACGUAGGGUGCAAGCGUUGUCCGGAAUUAUUGGGCGUAAAGAGCUCGUAGGCGGUCUGUCACGUCGGCUGUGAAAUCCCGAGGCUCAACCUCGGGUCUGCAGUCGAUACGGGCAAACUAGAGUAUUGCAGGGGAGACUGGAAUUCCUGGUGUAGCGGUGAAAUGCGCAGAUAUCAGGAGGAACACCGGUGGCGAAGGCGGGUCUCUGGGCAAUAACUGACGCUGAGGAGCGAAAGCGUGGGGAGCGAACAGGAUUAGAUACCCGCGUAGUCC